UUAAAGUGUUCGUUACUGCUCUUUGAGUGCAGAAGGCAAGACACUGAACUCUGUAUUUCAGCAAAAAGAAUUUAUCAAUUCAUGUAACUAACUGUAAGGCCAGAGGUGUAGCCAAACUUUGAAAAAAAGGGAGUCCAGGAACUUCAAUAAUGCUAUUGGGCUCUGACUAUAUUUCUUAGUUUUCUGUGUCUGUUUGGCUUUAAUUACGGCUUAAUUGAGCUCCAGGAGCUCAAGCUUUGUCAAAAGGGCUCAGACUCUCUUUCCUGGUUCUGUUUGUCUCUGCCUGGCUUCAUUUUUCGUCCUAGGACCAGGCACGUGACAGGCAAGAUGGCCAUCAGCAAUCCCAGACUCCUAACUCCCAGCUUCGACAUCUCCCAGGGGAAAGAAAAACAGUUCCAGCAAAUCAUUUCUGGGAUAGUUUGGUCUGUCUGAUCUGAGACAUGCUCCUGUCAUUGAACAUUUUAGCUGUGGAAAGAAGACACUUGGAUUGGCCAUGGCUGAGAUGUGUUCUCCCCAUGGAGGAUAAUUGUUGCCAGUAGAACACAACAUAGGAAACUGGACCCUGGUGCCAAAAAGGUUGGG